rnacentral:lncRNA from 1 species
CAAUUUUCACUCUAGCAGAAGGUAGUUUCGGACUUUGCCGAUUAUUACAAAUGAGGCCUUAUCACUGAAGUUUGUAACAUCCGAUAUCAGCGGAUAACUGCCAUUGCAUUUAGCGACAGCUGUAAACAGAAUGGCAGAAGAACCUUUUGAGAGGACGGAAAAGAAACCCGAGCCUGUCAGCAUUACCUCCCCUGAAAUGUAAGAAACUGGUGGAUUCCAAGACAAAAUUGUGGAAAAUGGAGACAUCUUCAAAUAACAGAAAGAAAUAAAGGCUGAAGAGGCAGGAUCACAGAUGUCAGAUGAAAGUUACCGCAAAAAAGGUUAAGUUGGAAAAGAGUGAAAAUGAAAAUGGAUGCUUGUGCAGUGACUGAAGUUGAAGUCAUAAAUUGAGGAUGAUGAAGCUACACGAAAAAGCUCUCAGCUCUACAGUCCGAGUCUGACCGACUUGUCCGACGAGCCACUGUCGGCGGCACUGCGAUCGCAGGCCCCUCACGGUGUGCGCUUACUCAGGCAAGUGUCGCGGGGAUUUGUUAAUGUAGAGGCUGACUGUACGCUGUAGGUGUCUGCAGACUUCCAUCAUUAGAGGAACAGUUCUAUGAACAGUACAUG